rnacentral:rRNA from 1 species
AAUAUAAACAUUAAAUUUAUCUCAAACGUAAAAAGACAUUUAUUAAAAAGAAAGACGACAAGACCCUAUUGAACUUAACUUUAGUUAAACUGGGGCAGUUAAUCAAUUAAAAUUUAUCUAAAAAUACAAAUUAAACAAUCUAAUAUAAUAAAAUAAUUCAGUUACCAUAGGGAUAACAGCGCAAUUAUAUUUUAGAGUUCUUAUCUAAAAAAUAGAUUACGACCUCGAUGUUGAAUUAAUAACCUAUAUAAAGCAAAUUUUAAAAAAGGAAGUCUGUUCGACUUUUAAAAAAUUACAUGAUUUGAGUUCAGACCGGUGUAAGCCAGGUCGGUUUCUAUCUCCUAUAUACAUAAUUAUAUAGUACGAAAGGACCUAUAAUAAUAUAUAAUAAAUAUAUUGGCAGAAUAAUGCAUUAGAAUUAGAAUCUAAUUAAACU